rnacentral:lncRNA from 10 species
CGGCCAGCUCCCACACUGUGGAGUGUACUUUCGUUUUCAAUAAAUCCCUGCUUUGGUUCUUUUGUUGCUUCAUUCUUUCUUUGCUUUGCUGGGCGUUUUGCCCAGUUCUUUGUUCAAAAUGCCAAGAACCUGGACAACUUGCAGUCACAACCCUCUAUCAGUGACAUACCUUGGCAAGCCAGCCAGGAGGAAAAGUAGGCCCAAAGUUUGGGAUUUUUCUCCUUUCCCCUUGUAAAUCUUUCUCUCUCUCUCUUCCUUUCCAACUCAGUGCCCUUGGUGGACAGCACCUAAGCAUGGAGACUUCAUGCAAGUUUCUGCCCAGGGUCACUAUCUAGUGAAACUGAAAGGUUUCCACAUGGAAGCACCUGACCGCCACCGCCCAGUUCAGUCUUUCAGCAACAGUUUCCUAGUAGCUCCUGGUAAUUGAGGGAAACUGACCAGGACCGCUCUUUGGCAUUCUCUGAAGACCAAGAAGCAAACAGGGAUAGAUGCCCUGCCUGGAAGGGGAAAAGACUCUUUUCUAUCCUUUCUGGUUAUACUCCCAGAACUCUACGUGUGACACAGUUGGAUGUGGCAGCUCAUCCAGGGCGAAUUCACACACGUUUCAGGUGACUUAAACCCCUUCUUUUCUUAUGCUAAAUUCUUCCCUUCCCCCACUCUACUAGCUAAGGAAAGAAAACCCACCUCGCUAUGCAAAAAGGUUAUACAAGUCAGAUGGCCUGGGCAUGUCGUAGGUGGUCUGUGUGGUGCAUGGGGGGUGGGGAUUAUUAUUGCCUAAGUUGAGAGAGUCAAAGAGUUGCUUUAAGUGGG